rnacentral:rRNA from 1 species
GACGAACGCUGGCGGCGUGCUUAACACAUGCAAGUCGAACGAUGAACCCGGAGCUUGCUCCGGUGGAUUAGUGGCGAACGGGUGAGUAACACGUGAGUAACCUGCCCUUGACUCUGGGAUAACUGCGGGAAACUGUAGCUAAUACCGGAUACGACCUUCGGCGGCAUCGCCAGGGGGUGGAAAGAAUUUCGGCCAAGGAUGGACUCGCGGCCAAUCAGCGAGUUGGUGACGAAACGGCUCACCAAGGCGACGACGGGUAGCCGGCCUGAGAGGGUGACCGGCCACACUGGGACUGAGACACGGCCCAGACUCCUACGGGAGGCAGCGGUGGGGAAUAUUGCACAAUGGGCGCAAGCCUGAAGCAGCAACGCCGCGUGAGGGAUGACGGCCUUCGGGUUGUAAACCUCUUUUAGUAGGGAAGAAGCGAAAGUGACGGUACCUGCAGAAAAAGCACCGGCUAACUACGUGCCAGCCGCCGCCGUAA